GGAGGGAUGGCUGAGUGGCCGAAAGCGGCGGUCUUGAAAACCGUUGAGGGUAACACCUCCGUGGGUUCGAAUCCUACUCCCUCCGCCA
rnacentral:tRNA from 2 species